rnacentral:rRNA from 1 species
UGGGGAAUCUUGCGCAAUGCGCGAAAGCGUGACGCAGCAACGCCGCGUGGGGGAAGAAGGCCUUCGGGUUGUAAACCCCUUUCAGGAGGGACGAAGGGCCGGCGGCGAAUAGCCUGCCGGUCUGACGGUACCUCCAGAAGAAGCCCCGGCUAACUACGUGCCAGCAGCCGCGGUAAUACGUAGGGGGCUAGCGUUGUCCGGAAUCAUUGGGCGUAAAGCGCGCGUAGGCGGCCCGGUAAGUCCGCUCUGAAAGUCAAAGGCUCAACCUUUGAAAGCGGGUGGAUACUGUCGGGCUAGAGUCCGGAAGAGGCGAGUGGAAUUCCUGGUGUAGCGGUGGAAUGCGCAGAUAUCAGGAGGAACACCAACGGCGAAGGCAGCUCGCUGGGACGGUACUGACGCUGAGGCGCGAAAGCGUGGGGAGCGAACAGG